AUUAUAUGUAUGAAUAUUUUAUAAGAGAUGUUAGUACGUAAGAAAUAAGUUAAGAAAAACUAUAGAUAAUAAGUAAAACAGUAAAAUUCAAUAAGUUAAGCAAUACUUAAUUAUUCACACAAAUAGGUUAAAAUAACAAUUGUGCAAUUCAGUGCCAGUAAACUUUAUAUUACAGUUAGCAUAGUAAGCAAGAUAUAAUAAUAAGAAAUGUAAAUAAAUUUGUUUAAUAAUUUACUAAUCGGGUUAAAAUAACAAUUACAUAAUAAUCAUAGUGUCUAUAAACUGUAAAUUUAACGUAGUAAUAGAAAAAUGUAGAACAAUCGAUAGUAAUUCGAUUGUAAGUGUAAUAUAUAAGUGAGAUGGCUAAGACAGCAAAGGGGGUCAGUAGUGGUAAUCGUGUGACUCGAUUAUCACUAGACGUCAUAUGUGAAUAAAGUUCUUCUUUUGCGUUAUUUUGUGCUUAACUUUAUUUAUUUUGAUAUACGUCCGAGUAAUCGGCGUAUACGACAACUUAAAGUCUAUUAUAACAAACAAUUUUAGAUUGAUUAUUCUUUAGUAGUUUUUGAAUUUUACUCAGACUUAAAACAUAAUUACCUACAAAGCAAUAUAAUAGUAAUUUUUUGGUAUAACUAAAUAGUAGUAAACUACAUUACAUGCUCGAUAAUUUCUCGACGACUGACUAGAUAAUAUCUAAUAUAUCUUAUAUUAUACGUCGGCUUCACUGACCGAUAACAAUAAUCACUACGAUCUAUAAUAAUAAUCGUUGGAACGCCGAAUUAGAAAAGGAUGGUUUCAAUGCAGAUCUUCCAGAACAUAAUUCUAGUCUAGGUUCUGAAACCAACAAAAAAGUCAGUUCAAUGAAAUAUUAUUCAUACCGCCUAAUGAUUCGGGAAAAUGAAGACAAUCACUUAUUGAAAUGUCGGUGAUUAUAUCACAAAUAUGUUUUGUUACAUGUAUGUUAAAACUGAAACGGAGAGAUUAAUAUUCAUCAGGUUGAAUCAAACAAAACUCCGAUCUGAAGAGUAUAAUAUUCACCUUCGAGAUGCGAUUAAUACUGAUUGAAGUGCACAGCAUGUUGGUCGGAUGACUAUACAUCCGAUUUGUAUAUUUGGACAACGUUGAUGUGUGCUUUGAAGGUCUUUGUUAAAUCAAAUAAUAAAAAAAAAAAAUGACACUAAAAUGUAACUAAUGAUUCAUUCAAUACUUAGUAUUUUAGAUACAAUGUGGAAACCGGUAGAAAUAUUGUUGACUGUUGAGAACGAUUGAUUAAUUACCAAUACUUAGUUAACCAUUGUGUUACUACUAUUAAAGGAAAAAGAAGAGAAAGAAAAAUGAAUCACUCUAUAUCAUUUAUAUGUUGUGGUUUUUCCCCUUUAAUAAUAAUUUAUAGUUAUUAUACUUCUACUGAUAUAACUAAUAGUAUAAAAUAUAAUCUCAGAUGAAGCUAUGAAGGUAUUUCCCUGUAAAGUAUUGAGAUAAAUAAAAAAAAAGUCUAAAUAGUCUUAACCCGACAACCGUCGUUAUUGGUUAGUGAGUCACUAAUAUUUAUAUAGGUAGGUACAUUGGAACCUGCCAUUUUUUUAUAGAGCUUAUUAUCUAUAUCAGUGGGGAGUUGUUCGAUUAUCUAAUUAUAUAAUAUAUACAUACAUAUUUUUAUUUUUUUUAUUUAUUUUUUUUUAUCCAGAUUAGUUUUCUAACAAGUCACGGCAGGCACCAGAUUUUUUUUAAACGACGCCUGGGGUUGCCAGGUAAUGUUUGGGUGGACAGGUUUUUAAUGAGUGGGUUUUGGUGUGUUUGUAGACGGGUGUGAACAUUUUUGUAGAAGCGUGUAGCUUCUUCUGUCACCAUUUUAAUUGAUAGGGCUUUAUGUAAAGUGUAAUUAGAAACAAAGGGUGGAGCAUUUGUUAUUUUCCU